AAAUAGACGAAGAAAAGAGGGAAAGAAAAGUAAAGAGAGAAGGAAAGAAAGAACGAACGAGAUUAAAGUGACCGAACGAAUUAAGAGAAAACCGGAUGUAAUGCGAGUCGAAGAAACGGAGUGAGACCGCGCGCGCGCCUCUGUACCUCGCCUCGUUCGGAAAGCGUGAACAAGGAUAAACGAGGGUUAGAAACCACCCCCGACGUCCACGUAAUCGGGGUUGCGUCCCUUCGAAGGGUGCAACGUAAGAGGGUGACGUGGACUUGUCCAAGGUCGCACGUGGCUUGCCUAGAGGGAUCUCGUCUCCCUAACAACGAGGCAAAGGAAUCUGGUAAAGUUUCAAGGAAAGAGAAAGGAGCAACGAGGAUGCGCAGGAGUAGUCGGCUGAACGGAAGCAACGAAGAAGAAGGGAGUUGGAGAAAGGGUGAAGAGAGGGUGGAUAAGAGAGUCUCUUUGUGUGUUCGUGUACAGCAGAGGGAUGAAAGCGGAGGAUGAAAAAGCCGGGGGACAGAUGGCUCUUUCAGACAAUGAGAAACUCCGGAGAUAAGCGGAACGCGAGCGAGAAUAUAAGGAGAGAUAGAGAAAGAGAAAGAGCAGCAGGGAAAAGAUUUGCAAGAAAAAGAAGGAGAAGAGACAAAACUGCUUUUUUGAGACAGCAAUGGGACAUAAGCAAAGGGACAUAAUGAACGAUGAGGUAGGAAAGUGCGAGAACGGGAGACGAAAAAAGAAUGAAAAAAGAAGGAGAAACGGAGAAUACAACUUAUAAUAAGUCAGAUACAAAAUCAACUGUGUAAACGAGAUUAAUGAUCAAACGAUACGAUAUUUUUUAGAUACACAUAUGUGCCAGAUAUUUAAAUUAUUUUGAAAUGGAACAGAAAGUUUAUGACGUGAUUCUGCAUAUAGAGGAUGUGAUUGUAUAUAUACUUACAUAGGAUAAUUUUUAAUUUAUCUUUUCAGGUUU